UAUUUCUUUUGUUGGGCUGCAUUAAAAAAAAAAUGGUUGGCCCUUGUAUUUUUUUUUUUUUAUUAUUUAUUUAAAUGAGCUAUGCAGAUUUUAUUUAAAUGAACUGCACUAUUUUAAUUAAUUAGACUUAUUAAGUUUGAUUAAUUAUUUUUUAAUUUGCAUAAUAAUAUUAUAUUAUUAUUAUGUGCAUAUUUUAAGUAAAUUACUUAUUAUAUGCUAAACAUGACAUGAUUUGCAUUAUAUUUUGCAAUAAGAAUAAAAGUAUUUAAUUGGUUUUAAUUAUAAUUCCAAUUAUUAAAGAAAGAUGAGUAAGAAUAUUGUUGGUGUUCUUAACUCAAGAGAAAUAUUUUCAAGUAUUUAUUUAUUAAAUUUUGAAAACCCGGCUAAGUGAAUCAUAGAAAGUUAAGCACUACACCAUGACUUAAGAUUAAAUACAAGGAGACCUAUUGAGAAUAGAUUUCUUGUAGGCUUCGAGCAUCAGAAGGAUUAGCACUGCUAUUCCGAUUCAGAGAUAAGGUUAAACGACAGGCUUUGCCUAUACAGGUUGAGCAGUUGAUGGAAUGGAAUGAUGUUGAGCGGGUGUUCCUUUGACAUUUCAAGAAAUGUAACCUUGAGUAUACAUCUUCAUAUGUAUAUCUCACACGUUUUCCGCUGCAAAACACUUUGAUUAGGAUAACUUUAUGUUAUGAAAUUGUGACACGUGUUA